rnacentral:ncRNA from 2 species
AAAAUAAUUAUAGCGCCUGAGCUAAGGAAAUAGAGCGGACAUCAAUCCUUAGUUGACGAGGUGGAGGUUUAUCGAAAUUUCGGCGGAUACCUCCCGAUUGACAAUGCCCAGUCGUCAUAUUCGUUUUAAAAGCAGAAAAGCGAUUUUCUGUACAAACAAGCGAAUAGGCAUAAAA